GAUGAACGCUGGCGGCGUGCCUAAUACAUGCAAGUCGAGCGAACAGACGAGGAGCUUGCUCCUCUGACGUUAGCGGCGGACGGGUGAGUAACACGUGGAUAACCUACCUAUAAGACUGGGAUAACUUCGGGAAACCGGAGCUAAUACCGGAUAAUAUAUUGAACCGCAUGGUUCAAUAGUGAAAGACGGUUUUGCUGUCACUUAUAGAUGGAUCCGCGCCGCAUUAGCUAGUUGGUAAGGUCACGGCUUACCAAGGCAGCGAUGCGUAGCCGACCUGAGAGGGGGGUCGGCCACACUGGAGCUCAGCCGCGGUCCAGACUCCUACGGGAGGCCGCAGUAGGGAGUCUUCCGCAAUGGGCGGAAGCCUGACGGUGCAACGCCGCGUGAGUGAUGAUGGUCUUCGGAUCGUAGAACUCUGUUAUUAGGGAAGAACAAAUGUUUAAGUAACUAUGCACGUCUUGACGGUACCUAAUCAGAAAGCCACGGCUAACUACGUG
rnacentral:rRNA from 1 species